GUGACCGUCUGCCAGUAUGUGAUCAGACCACUGCGCUCUCGGUCCUGCAUCAGCUGCGGCGGGUGAGCCAGGUCGGGGUUAGACGCAUCGCAUUCAUCACUACAGAGCAUCUGUGCAUGCGGCCCUGUGAUGCACCGGCCACCUGUCCAGGGUUUCCCCGCUUCAGUCCGUCACAGUCGGGAUAGUCUCCAGGAUUCCCAGUGACCCCAAUAAGGAUAAGCGGUAUGGGGGAUGGAUGAAUUGUUUGUCACUUUCUUGGAAGGAUAAAUAGCGGAGAGGAUCCGUCUGUUGUGAAGUGCUGACUGUGCCGGCCUGCCUCCCCCCGUCAUGUCUGAGCGUAAAAGGAAAACGUCCGGGCGUGCAGUGGGUGGCCCAUUAAAGCCCACAUCAAUAUUAAAGAGCCUGGGACGACCCGAGGAACAUUCCAGAAGCCGGUCCAUUAGCACAACUCCAGAACAACAACUAAUUAAACACAGGAGAAGCACAUUUUGUCUUUUCCACACAACAGAAGCAAACGGUGAUACGAAAAUGACACAACAGCACUAUUAAAGUAUUAUAAAAGUCUAUAAAUCUUCUGAAGAGGUGAAGAACAGACAGACAUCUCUUUUUAUGUCCCACCCCGGAGCCCGGGACUGUCACAGAGACGGCAAUAAUUUCUCAGGACACCUAUUUCUGUGAUAUCACUCAGUAAGUUUGGAGAACUCACCAGCGUGCAGAAUCUCUCCGGCGGGUUCCCGCAGGUGAAGCCCGGCGGCUCGACGCGGAUGCGCAUGUACUCCUUCACGGAUUGGGCUUUGGGUUGGCACGCGUAAUGC